rnacentral:rRNA from 1 species
UAAGGAAUAUUGGACAAUGGUGGAAACACUGAUCCAGCCAUGCCGCGUGAAGGAUGAAGGCGCUAUGCGUCGUAAACUUCUUUUGAACGGGAGAAACCCCAGAUACGUGUAUCUGGCUGAUAGUACCGUUAGAAUAAGGGUCGGCUAACUUCGUGCCAGCAGCCGCGGUAAUACGAAGGACCCGAGCGUUAUCCGGAUUCAUUGGGUUUAAAGGGUGCGUAGGCGGAAUGAUAAGUCAGUGGUGAAAUCCUGCAGCUCAACUGCAGAACUGCCAUUGAUACUGUCGUUCUUGAAUGCAACUGAUGUGGGCGGAAUGUGCCAUGUAGUGGUGAAAUACUUAGAUAUGGCACAGAACACCGAUUGCGAAGGCAGCUCACAAAAUUGUUAUUGACGCUGAUGCACGAAAGCGUGGGGAUCAAACAGGAUUAGAUACCCCCGUAGUCC